CAGCCGCCGCGGUAAGACGUAGGGCGCGAGCGUUGUCCGGAUUUAUUGGGCGUAAAGGGCUCGUAGGCGGUUCGUCGCGUCUGCCGUGAAAGACUACAGCUUAACUGUGGUUUUGCGGUGGAUACGGGCGGGCUUGAGGCCAGUAGGGGAGAUCGGAAUUCUACGUGUAGCGGUGAAAUGCGCAGAUAUGUGGAGGAACACCGGUGGCGAAGGCGGAUCUCUGGGCUGGUUCUGACGCUGAGGAGCGAAAGCAUGGGGAGCGAACAGGAUUAGAUACCCUGGUAGUCCAUGCUGUAAACGGUGGGCGCUAGGUGUGGGGUGGCAUUGGUUCACUCUGUGCCGUAGCUAACGCAUUAAGCGCCCCGCCUGGGGAGUACGGCCGCAAGGCUAAAACUCAAAGGAAUUGACGGGGGCCCGCACAAGCGGCGGAGCAUGCGGAUUAAUUCGAUGCAACGCGAAGAACCUUACCUGGGUUUGACAUCACCCGGAAAGCCUUGGAGACAAGGCCCUCUUCGGACUGGGUGACAGGUGGUGCAUGGCC
rnacentral:rRNA from 1 species